rnacentral:rRNA from 1 species
GAUGAACGCUAGCUACAGGCCUAACACAUGCAAGUCGAGGGGCAGCAGGGGUAGCAAUACCCGCUGGCGACCGGCGUACGGGUGCGUAACACGUGUGUAACCUACCUUCAACAGAUGGAUAACCCGUUGAAAGACGGACUAAUACAUCAUAACACAGGGCUACCGCAUGGUAAUAUUUGUUAAAGAUUAAUCGGUUGAAGAUGGGCACGCGCAACAUUAGAUAGUUGGUAAGGUAACGGCUUACCAAGUCGGCGAUGUUUAGGGGUUCUGAGAGGAAGGUCCCCCACACUGGAACUGAGACACGGUCCAGACUCCUACGGGAGGCAGCAGUGAGGAAUAUUGGUCAAUGAGCGAGAGCUUGAACCAGCCAAGUAGCGUGAAGGAAGACGGUCCUAUGGAUUGUAAACUUCUUUUGUAGAGGGGUAAAGUGCAUCACGUGUGAUGUAUUGCAAGUACUCUACGAAUAAGCAUCGGCUAACUCCGUGCCAGCAGCCGCGGUAAUACGGAGGAUGCGAGCGUUAUCCGGAUUUAUUGGGUUUAAAGGGUGCGUAGGCGGGCUGAUAAGUCAGCGGUGAAAGUUUGCAGCUUAACUGUAAAAUUGCCGUUGAAACUGUUGGUCUUGAGUGCAAAUGCGGUAUGCGGAAUGUGUAGUGUAGCGGUGAAAUGCAUAGAUAUUGCACAGAACACCGAUUGCGAAGGCAGCAUACUGGGCUGCAACUGACGCUGAGGCACGAAAGUGCGGGUAUCAGACAGGAUUAGAUACCCUGGUAGUCCGCACAGUAAACGAUGAUUACUGACUGUUUGCGAUACACAGUAAGCGGUUAAGCGAAAGCGUUAAGUAAUCCACCUGGGGGAGUACGUCGGCAACGAUGAAACUCAAAGGAAUUGACGGGGGCCCGC